rnacentral:rRNA from 1 species
GAGUUUGAUCGUGGCUCAGGAUGAACGCUGGCGGCGUGCCUAAUACAUGCAAGUCGAGCGAACGGACGAGAAGCUUGCUCCUCUGAUGUUAGCGGCGGACGGGUGAGUAACACGUGGAUAACCUACCUAUAAGACUGGGAUAACUUCGGGAAACCGGAGCUAAUACCGGAUAAUAUUUUGAACCGCAUGGUUCAAAAGUGAAAGACGGUCUUGCUGUCACUUAUAGAUGGAUCCGCGCUGCAUUAGCUAGUUGGUAAGGUAACGGCUUACCAAGGCAACGAUGCAUAGCCGACCUGAGAGGGUGAUCGGCCACACUGGAACUGAGACACGGUCCAGACUCCUACGGGAGGCAGCAGUAGGGAAUCUUCCGCAAUGGGCGAAAGCCUGACGGAGCAACGCCGCGUGAGUGAUGAAGGUCUUCGGAUCGUAAAACUCUGUUAUUAGGGAAGACAUAUGUGUAAGUAACUGUGCACAUCUUGACGGUACCUAAUCAGAAAGCACGGCUAACUACGUCG